CCCUUAGAUGUCCUGGGCCGCACGCGCGUUACACUGUUGCAUUCAACGAGCUUAUAACCUUGGCCGAGAGGCCUGGGCAAUCUUGUUAACGUGCAUCGUGAUAGGGAUAGAUUAUUGAAAUUAUUAAUCUUGAACGAGGAAUUCCUAGUAAACGCAGAUCAUCAAUCUGCAUUGAUUACGUCCCUGCCCUUUGUACACACCGCCCGUCGCACCUACCGAUUGGAUGGUCCGGUGAAGCCUCGGGAUUGUGGUUCUUGCCGCUUUAUUGUGGCGUGACCGCGAGAACUUGUCUAAACCUUAUCAUCUAGAGGAAGGUGAANUCGUANCA
rnacentral:rRNA from 1 species